UAGUUCCUUUUUUUCACUUUUGCAUACUACCAUCACAAGCAGAGAAAAAGCAUGUGCAUGCACGAUUUUGAUCAAGGAGAAACAUUUGCUUAGUUUUCUCAAAAUACAAAAAAAAAAAAGAAAUGGAAACAUGAGAUGCAUGUUCGUAUUCCAUAUUGUUGCCCAACAAUGCAACCCACACAUGCUUGUAAAGUGAACAAAGUUAUGUAUAUGUAAAAAUAAGC
rnacentral:lncRNA from 1 species